rnacentral:rRNA from 1 species
UACGUAGGGGGCUAGCGUUGCUCGGAAUCACUGGGCGUAAAGCGCACGUAGGCGGAUCUUUAAGUCAGGGGUGAAAUCCUGGAGCUCAACUCCAGAACUGCCUUUGAUACUGGGGAUCUCGAGUCCGGAAGAGGUGAGUGGAACUCCGAGUGUAGAGGUGAAAUUCGUAGAUAUUCGGAAGAACACCAGUGGCGAAGGCGGCAUCCUGGACCGGCAUUGACGCUGAGGCGCGAAAGCCAGGGGAGCAAACGGG